rnacentral:rRNA from 1 species
GACGAACGCUGGCGGCGUGCUUAACACAUGCAAGUCGAACGGAAAGUCCCUGCUUUUGUGGGGUGCUCGAUUGGCGAACGGGUGAGUAACACGUGAGUAACCUGCCCUUUACUUUGGGAUAACUUCAGGAAACUUGUGCUCAUACCGGAUAGGAACUCCUGCUGCAUGGUGGGGUUUGGAAAGUUUCGGCGGUUGGGGAUGGACUCGCUGCUUAUCAGCUUGUUUGUGGGGUAGUGGCUUACCAAGGCUUUGACGGGUAGCCGGCCUGAGAGGGUGACCGGCAAAAAUGGGACUAAGAAAGGGAACAGAAGCCAACGGGAGGCAGCAGGGGGGAAUAUUGCAAAAUGGGCGGAAGCCUGAUGAAGAAACGCAGCGUGCGGGAUGACGGCCUUCGGGUUGAAAACCGCUUUCGCAUGUGACGAAGCGUGAGUGACGGUAAUGGGUAAAGAAGCACCGGCUAACUACGUG